rnacentral:misc_RNA from 1 species
CUUGAUUCCUCUUCUUGCUUGUUGUUUUGGGUUCUUCUCCUUUUUGUUGGGGAGGGGUUAUAAGCUCUACAUAUUCUUAUUCUCAAACUUAUUCAUAAUUAGCUCAUAUUCAUGUCUCCAGCUGCAAUUGAGCGGCCAAUGCUUGAAUCGGCAUGUUCAAAAUCCAGUGACGAGAGUCGGCGUAGUUUUGCGAAUCUUAGAGGGGUUCAAUGGCGUACUGAUCUCGGGAUUCUGCCUCCUUUGUCUUCUUCUACCAUUGAUGAUCUUCGCAAGGUCACUGCCGAUUCUCGCAGGAGAUAUGCUUGUUUAAGAAGGCACCUCCUUGUUGAUCCACAUUUGCCAAAAGAUGGAAGAAAUUCUCCUAACCUUGCUAUAGACAAUCCAUUAUCACAAAACCCAGAUAGCACCUGGGGACGCUUCUUUCGGAAUGCAGA